rnacentral:RNase_P_RNA from 1 species
CCAGUUGACCGGGUGACCGCUUCCGGCCUUCCCCAGCGGGAAGGAACCGGGGGAGGAAAGUCCGGGCUCCACGGAAACACGGUGCCGGGUAACGCCCGGCGGGGGCGACCCCAGGGAAAGUGCCACAGAAAGCAGACUACCUUUCCGGGCGUGAGCGCGGGAGGGAAAAGGUGAAAGGGUGCGGUAAGAGCGCACCGCGGGCCUGGCAACAGGGCCGGCAGGGCAAACCCCACCGGGAGCAAGACCAAAUAGGGAUGACGCCGGGGGCAACCCCAGGACCAGGAUUUUCGGGUUAGUCAUCCGGGUUGGUCGCACGAGGCGCAAAAGCAAUUUUGCGUCCCAGAUGAAUGGUCACCACGCAUCAGGAGACUGGUGCCCUACAGAACCCGGCUUACAGGUCAACUGGCAUU